AUGAUUGGUUUACAUACUAUGGUGCUUUUGAUGUGAUGGAUUUAAGGGUUAUUGUUGGUGGUUUAUGCCUUUUCAUGUUACUUCUCUCUAGCUUUACCUGUCUAUGAUUGGUGUAGAUACUAUGGUGCUUUUUCUAGUGGUUUGUGGUGGGUUACUGGCUGUGGGUAUGUUUUUGGUAAGUUGUGUGGGGCGGUUGUGACUAUGCUAAUGUGUUAAUGGUGUGGAAGUGUGGCAAUGGUUGAUCUGAUAUUGAGGUUAAUGGGGCUGUUGGUGCUUGUCACUAUCGGUCUAAGGUCUUUUUGGUCCUGGUCAGAUGCAGAAGCCUUUUGAAGAAGCAACAUUUGCUCUAAAAGUUGAUGAGAUAAGUGACAUUGUCGAGACUGACAGUGGAGUCCACAUCAUCAAGAGAACAGAGUGAGUUGCUCAAGUGACAAACAAUUACCUACCAAUGUUGUUCAGCCUGCCUGCUGUUCUAAUUGUGUGUUGUUUAAUUGACUUGAAAUUUUCAAGAAGAUAAGUGCCUUUGUUCUGAUGAACUCUAGAUGGGAUUUAAAGCUGGACCAUGUUGAUCCAGUGAUAAUGGUUCUUUACUUUCACAUGCUUGGUUUCUUUUUUGUUUGAAAAAACUACUGUAGCUUGUUCCUUUUUUUACUCCUAUUUUAUCAUUAAAGAUUUGGUCCUUUUCUUUAUUGAUAGUAA